rnacentral:rRNA from 1 species
AGACCCGAAACCCGGUGAUCUAGCCAUGGGCAGGUUGAAGGUUGGGUAACACUAACUGGAGGACCGAACCGACUAAUGUUGAAAAAUUAGCGGAUGACCUGUGGCUGGGGGUGAAAGGCCAAUCAAACCGGGAGAUAGCUGGUUCUCCCCGAAAGCUAUUUAGGUAGCGCCUCGUGAACUCAUCUCCGGGGGUAGAGCACUGUUUCGGCUAGGGGGCCAUCCCGGCUUACCAACCCGAUGCAAACUGCGAAUACCGGAGAAUGUUAUCACGGGAGACACACGGCGGGUGCUAACGUCCGUCGUGAAGAGGGAAACAACCCAGACCGCCAGCUAAGGUCCCAAAGUCAUGGUUAAGUGGGAAACGAUGUGGGAAGGCCCAGACAGCCAGGAUGUUGGCUUAGAAGCAGCCAUCAUUUAAAGAAAGCGUAAUAGCUCACUGGUCGAGUCGGCCUGCGCGGAAGAUGUAACGGGGCUAAACCAUGCACCGAAGCUGCGGCAGCGACACUGUGUGUUGUUGGGUAGGGGAGCGUUCUGUAAGCCUGUGAAGGUGGCCUGUGAGGGUUGCUGGAGGUAUCAGAAGUGCGAAUGCUGACAUAAGUAACGAUAAAGCGGGUGAAAAGCCCGCUCGCCGGAAGACCAAGGGUUCCUGUCCAACGUUAAUCGGGGCAGGGUGAGUCGACCCCUAAGGCGAGGCCGAAAGGCGUAGUCGAUGGGAAACGGGUUAAUAUUCCCGUACUUGGUGUUACUGCGAAGGGGGGACGGAGAAGGCUAUGUUGGCCGGGCGACGGUUGUCCCGGUUUAAGCGUGUAGGUGUGUGUUCCAGGUAAAUCCGGUUCACUUUAACACUGAGGCGUGACGACGAGGCACUACGGUGCUGAAGCAACAAAUGCCCUGCUUCCAGGAAAAGCCUCUAAGCAUCAGGUAACAUCAAAUCGUACCCCAAACCGACACAGGUGGUCAGGUAGAGAAUACCAAGGCGCUUGAGAGAACUCGGGUGAAGGAACUAGGCAAAAUGGUGCCGUAACU